CAGGAACCAAGGUGGGAUCAAAGUCAUGGGGAAAGAAUGCCAAGAUGAGAUGCCUAUCAAAAUCCUUACCUCUCUGUGGAUACCUCACAUAAUCAAUUUUCAGGAAGGCUGCAUGAGCCACAG